CAGCAGCAGCAGGCGCAGAUCCACAGGCCAAAGGAGAUGCAGACGCGGUGGUCGGCGAAGCAGUGGUCCAGGUUCGGCUGCGGCAAUCCUGCUGAGCCCCGACUGCGUGCGGGAGAAGGGCGCGUCCAGCUCUGAGCUCCCGGGAGCUGGCAGCACCGGCUAAGACUCGAGGUUAAAGUUUCCGGACCGGGCGGCUCCCCACCCCUGGCGCUAUUGUUGGGGGUCCACUGGCUGGAGGCCGCCCCCCAGUGGCCGGAGCCGGGAGCAG